rnacentral:ncRNA from 5 species
GGGUUAGUAGGUUGGUCAUGCCUCUGGUAUGUACUGGUCUCACUGAUUCCUCCUUCCUGAUGAACCGUAAUGCCAUUAAUUUGGUGUUGCGGGGAAUUUGGACUGUUACUUUGAAAAAAUUAGAGUGUUUAAAGCAAGCUAACGCUUGAAUACAUUAGCAUGGAAUAAUGAAAUAGGACGUUCGAUCCUAUUUUGUUGGUUUCUAGGAUUGACGUA